rnacentral:rRNA from 1 species
GCCUGCAUGAAGCCGGAAUCGCUAGUAAUCGCGGAUCAGCAUGCCGCGGUGAAUACGUUCCCGGGCCUUGUACACACCGCCCGUCACACCACGAGAGUUUGUAACACCCGAAGUCGGUGGGGUAACCUUUUGGAGCCAGCCGCCUAAGGUGGGACAGAUGAUUGGGGUGAAGUCGUAACAAGGUAGCCGUAUCGGAAGGUGCGGCUGGAUCACCUCCUUU